AUGUCUGGCAGCGGCAAAACUGGAAAUUCAGGUGUCGCCCACAAGGUGUUCGACACAUGGUCUGAACCAGGAAAUCAAUCUGGAAGUGAAGGUAACCAUGCACAAAACAUGUUUGAUACAAUUCCAAAUCCCCAAGGCAGAGUCCUUCAUGUGGUAGUACAUCAAUAUCAACAAUUCGUGUCCCCAGAGUUGAUUAGUCAAGUAUUUUCUGCAUAUGGGAAAGUAGAAGAAAUGUUUCACAACCCACAUCAGGACUCACCCACACGUACAUCAUCUAUAUUCAUCGAAUAUGCACAGGCUAGAAUGGCUAAUGAUGCUUUGCAUGGUUUACAUGGAUUGUACCUGUACCAAGAUGAUUGUCGGUUGGAGAUUAGGCAUGCUAAUACACUACUAGGGAAAAGCUUAUAG
rnacentral:rRNA from 1 species